rnacentral:rRNA from 2 species
UACGAAGGGUGCAAGCGUUAAUCGGAAUUACUGGGCGUAAAGCGCGCGUAGGUGGUUCGUUAAGUUGGAUGUGAAAGCCCCGGGCUCAACCUGGGAACUGCAUCCAAAACUGGCGAGCUAGAGUAUGGCAGAGGGUGGUGGAAUUUCCUGUGUAGCGGUGAAAUGCGUAGAUAUAGGAAGGAACACCAGUGGCGAAGGCGACCACCUGGGCUAAUACUGACACUGAGGUGCGAAAGCGUGGGGAGCAAAC